UAUUUCAUUUAAAUCAAAAUCAUUGUUAGUGUUUUUCAUGCAUGGAAGGAUGUGCAUUCAGAUGCCAAUGCCUCUCAUUGUGCAAAGACCCUGUUGCCACUGAACAACCUCUGCUUUUGAUAAAAAAAACCCUCUGCUUUUCUGCUGCUUCAUUUCUCCUUCUGUGUUAUUCGAUAAUAAAGAUUGAUGGAUUUGACUUUACUGGAACCUUUAGCUUGCAUUGUCCUUUUUUUCCCCUUGGGGUGUUGCUGGGGCAGGAUGGGACAGGUUGGAGUUAGUUUGAACUUUUGCUUUGUAGUUUUAUCUCUUCUUCCUCCUGUUU
rnacentral:misc_RNA from 1 species